GGACGCCAGUCUGCAUGGAGCCGACCUUGAAAUACCACCCUUUAAUGUUUGAUGUUCUAACGUGGACCCGUGAUCCGGGUUGCGGACAGUGUCUGGUGGGUAGUUUGACUGGGGCGGUCUCCUCCUAAAGAGUAACGGAGGAGCACGAAGGUUGGCUAAUCCUGGUCGGACAUCAGGAGGUUAGUGCAAUGGCAUAAGCCAGCUUGACUGCGAGCGUGACGGCGCGAGCAGGUGCGAAAGCAGGUCAUAGUGAUCCGGUGGUUCUGAAUGGAAGGGCCAUCGCUCAACGGAUAAAAGGUACUCCGGGGAUAACAGGCUGAUACCGCCCAAGAGUUCAUAUCGACGGCGGUGUUUGGCACCUCGAUGUCGGCUCAUCACAUCCUGGGGCUGAAGUAGGUCCCAAGGGUAUGGCUGUUCGCCAUUUAAAGUGGUACGCGAGCUGGGUUUAGAACGUCGUGAGACAGUUCGGUCCCUAUCUGCCGUGGGCGCUGGAGAACUGAGGGGGGCUGCUCCUAGUACGAGAGGACCGGAGUGGACGCAUCACUGGUGUUCGGGUUGUCAUGCCAAUGGCACUGCCCGGUAGCUAAAUGCGGAAGAGAUAAGUGCUGAAAGCAUCUAAGCACGAAACUUGCCCCGAGAUGAGUUCUCCCUGAGACUUUAGGUCUCCUGAAGGAACGUUGAAGACGACGACGUUGAUAGGCCGGGUGUGUAAGCGCAGCGAUGCGUUGAGCUAACCGGUACUAAUGAACCGUGAGGCUUAACCUUACA
rnacentral:rRNA from 1 species